rnacentral:rRNA from 1 species
GCGGCGUGCCUAUACAUGCAAGUCGAACGCUUCUUUUUCCACCGGAGCUUGCUCCACCGGAAAAAGAGGAGUGGCGAACGGGUGAGUAACACGUGGGUAACCUGCCCAUCAGAAGGGGAUAACACUUGGAAACAGGUGCUAAUACCGUAUAACAAUCGAAACCGCAUGGUUUUGAUUUGAAAGGCGCUUUCGGGUGUCGCUGAUGGAUGGACCCGCGGUGCAUUAGCUAGUUGGUGAGGUAACGGCUCACCAAGGCCACGAUGCAUAGCCGACCUGAGAGGGUGAUCGGCCACAUUGGGACUGAGACACGGCCCAAACUCCUACGGGAGGCAGCAGUAGGGAAUCUUCGGCAAUGGACGAAAGUCUGACCGAGCAACGCCGCGUGAGUGAAGAAGGUUUUCGGAUCGUAAAACUCUGUUGUUAGAGAAGAACAAGGAUGAGAGUAACUGUUCAUCCCUUGACGGUAUCUAACCAGAAAGCCACGGCUAACUACGUGCCAGCAGCCGCGGUAAUACGUAGGUGGCAAGCGUUGUCCGGAUUUAUUGGGCGUAAAGCGAGCGCAGGCGGUUUCUUAAGUCUGAUGUGAAAGCCCCCGGCUCAACCGGGGAGGGUCAUUGGAAACUGGGAGACUUGAGUGCAGAAGAGGAGAGUGGAAUUCCUGU